rnacentral:rRNA from 1 species
UACGUAGGGGGCUAGCGUUGUCCGGAAUCAUUGGGCGUAAAGAGCGUGUAGGCGGCCCGGUAAGUCCGCUGUAAAAGUCAAAGGCUCAACCUUUGAAUGUCAGUGGAUACUGCCGGGCUAGAGUCCGGAAGAGGCGAGUGGAACUCCUGGUGUAGCGGUGGAAUGCGUAGAGAUCGGGGAAGAACAUCAGUGGCGAAGGCGGUCUGCUGGGCCGUUGCUGACGCUGAGGCGCGACAGCGUGGGGAGCAAACAGG